rnacentral:rRNA from 1 species
GAUGAACGCUGGCGGCGUGCCUAAUACAUGCAAGUCGAGCGAACAGAUAAGGAGCUUGCUCCUUUGAAGUUAGCGGCGGACGGGUGAGUAACACGUGGGUAACCUACCUAUAAGACUGGGAUAACUUCGGGAAACCGGAGCUAAUACCGGAUAACAUUUAGAACCGCAUGGUUCUAAAGUGAAAGAUGGUUUUGCUAUCACUUAUAGAUGGACCCGCGCCGUAUUAGCUAGUUGGUAAGGUAACGACUUACCAAGGCGACGAUACGUAGCCGACCUGAGAGGGUGAUCGGCCACACUGGAACUGAGACACGGUCCAGACUCCUACGGGAGGCAGCAGUAGGGAAUCUUCCGCAAUGGGCGAAAGCCUGACGGAGCAACGCCGCGUGAGUGAUGAAGGGUUUCGGCUCGUAAAACUCUGUUAUUAGGGAAGAACAAAUGUGUAAGUAACUGUGCACAUCUUGACGGUACCUAAUCAGAAAGCCACGGCUAACUACGUGCCAGCAGCCGCCGCAG